rnacentral:rRNA from 1 species
GUCUUUUUGAAAUUAAUUUMAAGUCUAACCUGCCAAGUGAAAAUUUAACGGCCGCAGUAUUUUGACUGUGCGAAGGUAGCAUAAUCAAUAGUUUUUUAAUUAAAAACUGGAAUGAAGGGUUGGAUAAGAAAUUAACUGUCUUAAUUUUAAUUUUUUAAAAUUUUAUUUUUAAVUUWAAAAGCUUAAAUAAGUUUUAAAGACGAGAAGACCCUAUAGAAUUUUAUAAUUAUAUUAUUUCAAUUUUAAGGAUUAGAAAUUUUUAAUUAAUUAGAUUAUUUAAUUGGGGUGAUUAUAAAAUUUAAUAAACUUUUAUUAAUAUUAUCAAAAAUUUUUGUUUAUUUGAUCCAUUUUUAUGAUUAAAAGAUUAAAUUACCUUAGGGAUAACAGCGUAAUUUUUUUUGAAAGUUCUUAUUGAAAAAAAAGAUUGCGACCUCGAUGUUGGAUUAAAAUUAGUUUUAGAUGAAGAAGUUUAAUAACUAAGUCUGUUCGACUUUUAAUUUUUUACA